rnacentral:rRNA from 1 species
CUGAUGCAGCAACGCCGCGUGAGGGAUGACGGCCUUCGGGUUGUAAACCUCUUUUAGCAGGGAAGAAGCGAAAGUGACGGUACCUGCAGAAAAAGCACCGGCUAACUACGUGCCAGCAGCCGCGGUAAUACGUAGGGUGCAAGCGUUGUCCGGAAUUAUUGGGCGUAAAGAGCUCGUAGGCGGUUUGUCGCGUCUGCUGUGAAAACGCGAGGCUCAACCUCGCGCCUGCAGUGGGUACGGGCAGACUUGAGUGCGGUAGGGGAGAUUGGAAUUCCUGGUGUAGCGGUGGAAUGCGCAGAUAUCAGGAGGAACACCGAUGGCGAAGGCAGAUCUCUGGGCCGUUACUGACGCUGAGGAGCGAAAGCGUGGGGAGCGAACAGGAUUAGAUACCCUGGUAGUCCACGCCGUAAACGUUGGGAACUAGAUGUGGGGUCCAUUCCACGGAUUCCGUGUCGCAGCUAACGCAUUAAGUUCCCCGCCUGGGGAGUACGGCCGCAAGGCUAAAACUCAAAGGAAUUGACGGGGGCCCGCACAAGCGGCGGAGCAUGCGGAUUAAUUCGAUGCAACGCGAAGAACCUUACCAAGGCUUGACAUAUACCUGCAAAGGCUGGAAACAGUCUCCUCGCAAGACAGG